UGACGAAAGGAAAACACUCCUACACAAACUUGCGCCCUACCACAUGGCUCCAGGCCAAUUCUCCAGGCAGCCUGGGCCUUGUGCUCACAGCUCCCUCCUGAAGCUGCUGUGCAUCCAGGGGUGACACUCUCUGCAGGGGAGCCUUCUGGACUCGGAGGAGGGCUGGGGUGGACCUGUCACCCCCCCAGGUCCCUUACUAUUAUACUCCCUCUGAUGACCUCAACUGAAUCAAUGCAACCAGUGUCACUGUACCACAUUAUACUGCUGCUGCCUUUUUGUUUUGGGUUUUAUCCAGAAAUGCCAAGCCUGAGAUGUCAAACUUCUAACUCCAACAGACUGGUGAGACCUUUCCUAACACAUGGGACUACCCAGCUCCAUUUCAGAUGGCAUGCUCUCUAACAAAGUUGCAGAUCCUAGAUCCACAAGUUGGGGGCAACUCUAUACUUCAAACCACCAGAUCCCGGAUGCCAGCAUGAGGCUGACCAGACUUCCCUGGACUGACGACCCCACCAAUAUGUCCUGUAGCUGCACUUCCCCAGAGCCCCAUCAUACAAGGGAAAGAGAGAGGCAGAUUGGGAGUAUGGAUCCACCACUCAACGUCCAUGUUCAGUGGGGAAGCAAUUACAGAAGCCAGACCUUCCACCUUCUGCAACCCACAAUGACCCUCGGUCCAUGCUCCCAGAGGGAUAGAGAAUGGGAAAGCUAUCAGGGGAUGGGAUGGGAUAUGGAUAUCGGUUGGUGGGAAUUGUGUGGAGUUGUACCCUUCUUAUCCUACAGUUUUGUUUAUGUCUCCUUUCUUAAAUAAAUAAAUUAAAAACAUAAAAAAAUAAAAAAGAAUUUAAAGAAACAUUUAUAGAAAAAGAAAUUGCAAAGUAAAACUUGGACUUGAUGUUAGACCAAAGCAAAGGACUUUGAAGAAGAAGGGGAAGAAUGAAGGGAAAAGGAAGUGAUGAAGAG